AAAGCGUGCGCAGGCGGUUUGUAAGACUGUCGUGAAAUCCCCGGGCUCAACCUGGGAAUGGCGAUGGUGACUGCAAGGCUAGAGUUUGGCAGAGGGGGGGUAGAAUUCCACGUGUAGCAGUGAAAUGCGUAGAUAUGUGGAGGAACACCGAUGGCGAAGGCAGCCCCCUGGGUCAAAACUGACGCUCAUGCACGAAAGCGUGGGGAGCAAACAGGAUUAGAUACCCCGGU
rnacentral:rRNA from 1 species